AACGAACGCUGGCGGCAUGCCUAACACAUGCAAGUCGAACGAGACCUUCGGGUCUAGUGGCGCACGGGUGCGUAACGCGUGGGAACCUGCCCUUAGGUUCGGAAUAACUCCCCGAAAGGGGUGCUAAUACCGGAUAAUGUCUUCGGACCAAAGAUUUAUCGCCUUUGGAUGGGCCCGCGUUGGAUUAGCUAGUUGGUAGGGUAAAAGCCUACCAAGGCGACGAUCCAUAGCUGGUCUGAGAGGAUGAUCAGCCACACUGGGACUGAGACACGGCCCAGACUCCUACGGGAGGCGGCAGUGGGGAAUAUUGGACAAUGGGCGAAAGCCUGAUCCAGCAAUGCCGCGCGAGUGAUGAAGGCCUUAGGGUUGUAAAGCUCUUUUACCCGGGAUGAUAAUGACAGUACCGGGAGAAUAAGCUCCGGCUAACUCCGUG
rnacentral:rRNA from 1 species